rnacentral:misc_RNA from 1 species
GAUGAAGAACGUAGCGAAAUGCGAUAAGUAAUGUGAAUUGCAGAAUUCAGUGAAUCAUCGAAUCUUUGAACGCACAUUGCGCCCGCCAGCAUUCUGGCGGGCAUGCCUGUUCGAGCGUCAUUUCAACCCUCGAGCCCCCCCGGGGGCCUCGGUGUUGGGGGACGGCACACCAGCCGCCCCCGAAAUGCAGUGGCGACCCCGCCGCAGCCUCCCCUGCGUAGUAGCACACACCUCGCACCGGAGCGCGGCGCGGCCACGCCGUAAAACCCCCGACUUUCUGAACGUUGACCUCGGAUCAGGUAGGAAUACCCGCUGAACUUAAGCAUAUCAAUAAGCGGAGGA